UGGACCUAUUACAUCAUUUUUGGA
rnacentral:siRNA from 1 species